rnacentral:rRNA from 1 species
GAUGAACGCUGGCGGCGUGCCUAAUACAUGCAAGUCGAGCGAACGGACGAGAAGCCUGCUUCUCUGAUGUUAGCGGCGGACGGGUGAGUAACACGUGGAUAACCUACCUAUAAGACUGGGAUAACUUCGGGAAACCGGAGCUAAUACCGGAUAAUAUUUUGAACCGCAUGGUUCAAAAGUGAAAGACGGUCUUGCUGUCACUUAUAGAUGGAUCCGCGCUGCAUUAGCUAGUUGGUAAGGUAACGGCUUACCAAGGCAACGAUGCAUAGCCGACCUGAGAGGGUGAUCGGCCACACUGGAACUGAGACACGGUCCAGACUCCUACGGGAGGCAGCAGUAGGGAAUCUUCCGCAAUGGGCGAAAGCCUGACGGAGCAACGCCGCGUGAGUGAUGAAGGUCUUCGGAUCGUAAAACUCUGUUAUUAGGGAAGAACAUAUGUGUAAGUAACUGUGCACAUCUUGACGGUACCUAAUCAGAAAGCCACGGCUAACUACGUGCCAGCAGCCGCGGUAAUACGUAGGUGGCAAGCGUUAUCCGGAAUUAUUGGGCGUAAAGCGCGCGUAGGCGGUUUUUUAAGUCUGAUGUGAAAGCCCACGGCUCAACCGUGGAGGGUCAUUGGAAACUGGAAAACUUGAGUGCAGAAGAGGAAAGUGGAAUUCCAUGUGUAGCGGUGAAAUGCGCAGAGAUAUGGAGGAACACCAGUGGCGAAGGCGACUUUCUGGUCUGUAACUGACGCUGAUGUGCGAAAGCGUGGGGAUCAAACAGG